rnacentral:rRNA from 1 species
AGCUCCAAUAGCGUAUAUUAAAGUUGUUGCGGUUAAAAGCUCGUAGUUGGAUUUCUGUCGGUGAGGUGCAGUCCGGCCUUUGUGUUGUGUACUUGUACCGCCACCGGCAUCUUCCUAGGGACUGUGUCUGCUCUUCAUUGAGUGGCGCAUAAUCUAGGACUUUUACUUUGAGGAAAUAGGAGUGUUUCAAGCAGGCAUGCGCCGUGAACACGUUAGCAUGGAAUAAUAGCAUCGGACCUCGCUCCAAAGCUGUUGGUUUCUUGGAACGAGGUAAAGGUGAAUAGGGAUUGUUGGGGGCAUUCGUAUUUAACUGUCAGAGGUGAAAUUCUUGGAUUUGUUGAAGACGGACUACUGCGAAAGCAUCUGCCAAAGAUGUUCUCAUUGAUCAAGAACGAAAGUUAACGCUGACGCAAGGCACACA